rnacentral:miRNA from 1 species
AAGUUGUAUUAUGUACAUGAGU